CAGCGGCAGAGCGAUGCGGUCUGCACCGGCGGUCUCGAUCCCCAGGGCAUCGGGAUGGCCCUCGGGGCGGGCUCGAUCGAGGCGAGCGCCGUCGA
rnacentral:tRNA from 1 species